rnacentral:snoRNA from 1 species
CCCUUCCUAAGUUCGCACCUGGAGUUUCUAGUACUCUACCAGUCUUGACUAUGGGAGGAAGAGUCAAGCAGAGAUAUACCCAUUCCAUUCCUAGCUUGGCCAGUGGCUAGCGAGUGGAAGGCAAUCUGCUACUGGU